rnacentral:rRNA from 1 species
AGGGAAGAGCCCAAGAUUGAAAGCUGGCGUCUUCGGCGUCCGCAUUGUAAUCUCAAGAAGCGUUUUCCGCUUCGGACCAUGCCUAAGUCCCUUGGAAAAGGGCAUCAUAGAGGGUGAUAAUCCCGUACAUGGCAUGGAGCGCCCGAAGCUUUGUGAUACGUUUUCUAAGAGUCGAGUUGUUUGGGAAUGCAGCUCAAAAUGGGUGGUAAAUGCCAUCUAAGGCUAAAUAUUGGGGAGAGACCGAUAGCGAACAAGUACAGUGAUGGAAAGAUGAAAAGAACUUUGAAAAGAGAGUUAAACAGUACGUGAAAUUGCCAAAAGGGAAGGGUAGGAGGUCAGAGAUGCGUCUUGGAAUUCAGCCUUGCUUUUGCUUGGUGUUUUUUCCAAGUUUGCAGGCCAACGUCGGUUUUGGGCACUGGAGAAGGGUGGAAGGAACGUGGCACCCCUCGGGGUGUGUUAUAGCCUUCUACUGGAUACAGCGACCGAGACCGAGGACAGCAGCGUACUCGCAAGAGCGGGCCCUCGGGCACCUUUACGCUUAGGGCGUUGGCAUAAUGGCCCUCUACCACCCGUCUUGAA